AACUACAAGCUCCAUGGAUCGGGAUUCGAGCCCCAUGCUUCUAGUCCUGUUUUAACCACUACACUGGACCGGUACUUGAGAGCAAACCGGAAGCAUCCUUCGCCAGUGAUUAUUUCCACUCGUUUGCGUGGAUUAUUGCCAAACCCUGGGACCACCUUUUUCCUCCGGGGCAUAUUUUACCAUAUUGCAUUAAUUCCGUGUAAGAAGUAUAUAUAACAUCCUCCCAGAAAUGCCAAAGCUCGGAAACAGCAAGAAGCUCGCGGUGCGUUUGAACUGGAGGCAAUCAUCAUUUGGACCACCACCCCAUGCAAAUCACCCAUUGCGAGGAAUAUCGCCCGGCACCCUCCAGGAUUCUGCAGUCCGAGCUUUCUAG
rnacentral:lncRNA from 1 species